ACGAAGUUAUACUAAAGGUUCUUUGUGUUUAAUAGAUUGGAUGAGAUUUUUAUGAUAUCUAUUAAACACAAAGAACUUUUAAUAAUAAAAACAACUUUGUUGGCUUAAUCUUAAAGCAAACAAAGUUUUUAUUCAGCAAAAAUUACUUAAAGCUUUUAAAAACAAAGCAAAUAUUUGCACAAAUACUUGCUUUGUUUCAACAUCAAAAAAACAAUCAAAAACAAUAGAUUUCAAUUGAUUUCAAUUUUGAUUGACAAUAUAUGUCAAUCAAUAUUAAAAUUAAAUCGAUUGUCAUUAUAUUAUAAAUAUUCAUACACUACAAAACUUGCCUCCUAUAUUCUAUUAAUUUUUUAAACGUUGAUUAUUGGUUGACUCAGAAAUACGUCAUUUUCACGGAAAAUAGCCAAAAUUGCUUCUUAAUUUUCGUGAAUUUUCACGGAAAAUAUAAUUUACGUAUUAAAACAGUGUACAAAAAGUAAUGUUACUACAAUUUAUGUUCUACUUAUGUAGAGCUUUCUAAUAUUGCGAGACAUUUUAUUUUAAAACCAAUGACUAGUCUAUAAUAAUUGAUUGAAUUAUAAGAUUAAAUCAAUAAAUAAUCAUUAAAAACAAUUAAAAUAAAAAAAUUCAAUUUAAAUAUUGUUUUUAUUUGUCUGAUUUAAAUCAUGGUUUAAAUCAAAAAAACCCUUUAUAUAUUCCAUCUUUUUGAGGCAGAGGGACAUUAUUCUUGGUUUUAUUAUAUUUAAAUUUAAUUUCUGUGGAUAUUUUUCAUAUUUAGUUUGCGUACAACAGUUAACAACUUUAAUCUUAUACAUUAGUUUUAGUUAUAACUUGAUUGUUAAUGAUUUGAUUUAUAGAUUUUUAUAGCAAUGCAAGAUUGAAUUUAGCAGAAGGCUAAACUUCUGCUCUGGAGACAAAAAAGGAAGACAGCCAAAAUGAUCAGCCAAAAUAAAGAUUAAAGAGACAAAAAAUUGUGUAUAUUUUGGUGUAGAUGAUUUAUCCUCAAUUUCUUAUAAUAAAACAAAAAAUAUUAUUAAACUUUGGGAUUUACCUGUAACUCUUAACUCUUUACAAAAGUUCAAUGUUUGCUCUGAGAAGUUAAAUGAACAAAAUUUAUUAAAUGUGCAAUCUGUAUCUCAAACAUUAAUGAGAAUUGUUUUGUGUCAGUGCCAGAAAUUGAAUGUACACCUGCAAAUUUCGUAAUUCAUAAAAAUAUUAUGAAUCCAUUAACAAAUAAAGUUGUAUCCUUGAAAGAUAUGCUGGUAUUAUUGGCACAAUGGGCAAGCAUUGAAGUGCAACUUUGUGAACUACAAAACACAUCAAAUUCAGUUAUAAAAAUUUGAGUAACAAAGGUAUGCUAAUUAUUGUAUUGAAAGAGUAUUAUUGCCAUUAAAAAAAGCAAAGAAUUCAAAUGUUCUGAAAGGAAAAAGGCAAGAAAAUACUUAAUUAAAUGGUUAAUUAUUUGGCACAAAUUAGAGUUAAAGACGAAGGAGAUUGUAUAUAUGUUAUUUACUAAGAAUAGUUUUUUAAGAUGGCCUAGCUGUAAAAUUAAACUAUGCAGGGAGAAGACAAAAAAUUGGAAUAGCAAAAAUGUUGAUUGCAUAAGCUGCUAUUGAAACUGUAAAGUGAAAUAAGCGUAGCUUAUGCAGACAUGUAAUAGAGAUAGCGGAAGAAAAAAUAAUAAUUGUGGGCACCAAAUAUCAUAAGCUAAACACGAUUCAAUAACAAGUAGCUCAGCCAAUAUCGAAACUACUCUAUAAAUUUUAUAGUGAAUGUUUUUAUUUAAAACUCAAUGUGUCAGUUUUUAGUUUAAGUUUGGUGUUAGCAAUAUGUAUAAUUAACCGAGAAAUUAUGUUAAAUAAAUUUUUAUACUUGUAUCA